rnacentral:lncRNA from 1 species
AGGUUCUGUUUCAGCUGUAAGAUGUUUCAGCUCUUAGAGGUCCUGUUUCAGCUGUUAGAGGUUCUGUUUCAGCUGUUAGA